AAAAAGGAGGGAAGCAAAAUUACAUGCCAAGUUCGGAGCGAGCUGAAUUCAAAGAUCCCUUCGGGGUGAUUUGUUGGACGCUUAGCGGCGGAUGGGUGAGUAACACGUGGGCAAUCUGCCCUAAAGACUGGGAUACCACUUGGAAACAGGUGCUAAUACCGGAUAACAACAUGAAUCGCAUGAUUCAAGUUUGAAAGGCGGCGCAAGCUGUCACUUUAGGAUGAGCCCGCGGCGCAUUAGCUAGUUGGUGGGGUAAAGGCCUACCAAGGCAAUGAUGCGUAGCCGAGUUGAGAGACUGAUCGGCCACAUUGGGACUGAGACACGGCCCAAACUCCUACGGGAGGCAGCAGUAGGGAAUCUUCCACAAUGGACGCAAGUCUGAUGGAGCAACGCCGCGUGAGUGAAGAAGGUCUUCGGAUCGUAAAGCUCUGUUGUUGGUGAAGAAGGAUAGAAGCAGUAACUGGUCUUUAUUUGACGGUAAUCAACCAGAAAGUCACGGCUAACUACGUGCCAGCAGCCGCGGUAAUACGUAAGUGGCAAGCGUUGUCCGGAUUUAUUGGGCGUGAAGCGAGCGCAGGCGGAAUGAUAAGUCUGAUGUGAAAGCCCACAGCUCAACCGUGGAACUGCAUCGGAAAACUGUCAUUCUUAAUUAAA
rnacentral:rRNA from 1 species